rnacentral:rRNA from 1 species
AUUGCAGAAUUCAGUGAACCAUCGAAUCUUUGAACGCACAUUGCGCCCGGUAGUAAUCUGCCGGGCAUGCCUGUCCGAGCGUCAUUUCUCCCCUCGAGCGCGGCUUCACGGCCGACGCCCGGUGUUGGGGCGCUACGGAGGGAGCCUCGCGCCCCCCCCGUAGGCCCCGAAAUGUAGUGGCGGUCCCGCCGCGGCGCCCCCUGCGUAGUAGUUUUACAACUCGCAUCGGGUCCCGGCGGAGGCCAGCCGUCAAACCCCCAACUCAAUAUUUUGACCUCGGAUCAGGUAGGGUUACCCGCUGAACUUAAGCAUAUCAAUAAGCGGAGGAA